UAUUAAGGGCUAAAUCAAUGAACUUCAUGCUUAAGGAAAGCCUGAUUUUCCUUUGUGAUGAGAAUUUUGGGGAGGGAUCAUAUCAUAUCUUACAGCUCCAAGCAGGUCUUUCCCUUUUUGCAGGCCACUCACUAUAUGGAAUUCAGUGAAUUGAAUUGAAGAAUAUGGGGAUAAAGUUACUGAAUAUGUGUCAGAGAAGAUAUUUGAUAUCUAUUUCAGAGGAGGAUCAUGUAUUAAUGGAAGUCUUCCAAGAAUUUUCAACAAAACUAAUUGCACAGCAUCUCUAUUGCACACUAGUAAAAGUCAAUGAGAAAAUGUGCAUCACUUUGCAGAAAUUGGAUUUACUGUCAUCUUUUCAGUAGGGUUUUUAUUUUAGCAAAUGUGGCACCUGUCCAAUUAUUUAAUGACCUCUUCCACUUAAAAAAAUUACAGAGGUGGGUAUCCUAGGCUAGAUUCUCUAUUUCAUUUUCCUCAUUAUGUAAUGUGCAGUUCAAAUCCACUAGCAAACAUUUAUGAAAGUGUUCAGGGAACUAAACAUUGGUGCAGACAUUGUAGGCAGUGAAAAUGCAUUGCAAACACCAGGCCUCUCCUAGAUGAAGACACGGUGGAGUGCUUAGCUACCUAGUAAUGUAGAUGGUUAGAAGUCUUAAAGCAUAGAACACAAGACCCACUAAAGUAGAGAGAUUUGUAUGAUAUGGUAUGGUAUGAUUAAGAAACUCUUUAGGAAGGUUGAGUUGGUAGGAGGAAAAUAAAGUGGGUUGAAAUGAAAGACAUAAAGAACAAAUACCAGGCUCCUUGUUUGUUGGGUGGCAUGCCCAAAACCUCUAGUGUAGAGAAAGUGAAGUUUACAGUGUCUGGGGUUGAGAUGCUAAAUUCCUCUGAAUGAGUCUAUUUUAUAGAACACACAUAAAACAUUCACCUGAACUAGUGACUUGAAGGAGCUUGGCUUCUAUGUGGAUGAAUGUAUCAUGUUGUUACUCUUUGAAUGCUCGAAAAAAGAGUGCUAGUUCCUUUUCUUCACAUUCCUCUAACCCCUUCAAAGCAUUGCAGAGUUCCCACUGAUCCCAUUCGAAAGCAUCCAUCCUCAAGCCAAAUGGAAUCCAUAUCACUAAGGUAGACUGGCUGUUAACUUUUCUCUGUGGAACACUUAAACCUCCCAAGAUUUUCUGUGGUAUUCAAGGAGAGAGAGAGAGCAACUCAGUGGUUUCUCCAAGGUCAUCUGUUUCCUACUCAAUGAAUUUUGUUGUAGAGUUGCUGAAUGAAAAACAGAGUUUGGAGCAUCUUGAGGGUCUCUUUUCCUAUGAAACAGAUUUUAAAGUUUGGUUCAGUGGGAAAAAAAUCAGCCAAGUACUUUUGUCCCUUGUGACACUAAUGUGGUCUGUGACCACAGUAGGAUCAUACUGUGGAGUUACUACUUUAUUUUUGAAAAAAUUAAAAGAAAUGCUUCUUCAGCCUACAGAAAGAUUAAUGUAUAUGAUUCAUUAUCAUUUAUAUCAAGGAAAUAAUGGUUUCUGUCCCUGUGCAUGUUUUUGCUUGUUCAAGUAAUUGUAGUGACUUGGCAAUGUCCUGCUUUAGUUGGGUUCCCUCACAGAGCUGACAAGAGUCAAUGAUUUCUGUCCCUUUCCCAUGUUGCUGGGACAAAUGCCAAUAAAUCUAUGAGCAAAGAAGGGAGCUAUAGAGAAACAUGCUAUGUGGCAGGGAAUGGAGUAAGAGACAACCAGGGUUCAGGAACCAGGUUUCCCCAGAGAGAGACAAAAUGAAAACAAACAAAAGGAAGACACAGGUCGAAACAGGCUCCCCAGACGGGGCCUAUUUGCUGCAAAAAUGGAGCCUUAAAUUUCAUAAAGCUCAAUGAAGGGAAGAAGCCAGAAGUUAAACAUGGUCUUUGUAAUACAAUUGAAGAAUUAUUAACCAAGUAUACAGAGGAAAGGCCACAUAUUUGGUGAGCAACAUUUGUUUUUCUUAAAAACCUAUUUAGGCACUCUGUGAACUAAAAUAUGUUCCCAAACCUGUCUAGCCACAUAGAUACUAAUAUUACUCUCCCAAGCCACAGAGGUACCCAAAAGAACUCAGGAAAAAGUAGAGGGAAGCUAAGCAGUGGGAAAUCCCACAGAGGCUCAAAGUACCUAACAUGGGCUGCUUUUUGAAGCAUGUGACAGGGAGUUGAGUGACCUAGUAAAAUUUAUUAUCAAAAACGCAGAAGUUGUGGCUCUAGUUACUUGUCCAGAAUAAUUUAACUUCUUCCUGAGUUUCAUGCUUUAAAUAAAAUUUAAAGAAGAUUGAGCUCCAAUAACAGAAGGAUCUUCCCAGCUCCACUCCUCUAAGGAUAAGGAGCUAGAUCCCUUCUUACCCUAUUAUUUAUGGCCAUAUGACAAGCCCCAGGCUUAUAGUUGGAAUUGCUCCAUCACAGCCUCCUGCAAGAUUAAUGACAGGAAUCUGAAAAACCCUGAAAUAUGCACAUAGUAUUCACAACAUC
rnacentral:lncRNA from 1 species